GGUCUGCUUCAGACGGGCUCGAGCCGGGUUAUUUACCUCCCGCUCAGAUUCCCACACUCCAUUUUCCAUUCUCUUUGCCGCUAAUGCACCGUGUUUCCUGCUCUCCUCUCGCUCAUGCUCAACUUUACUUUUCCGUAUUCCUUCGAACUUUGUUGGGGAAACUGCAGCUCAGGAACCUGAGGCUGACAGUCACUCGGGUAAAACACUAGAAUACUGGUAUGUGAACUUGAUAACAUUUUAUUCACCUUUCUGUUUUUGUAUUCACCAUAAAUCUGACAAUAGUUGCUUCACAGUUUGACUUUCUCACCACCAGUUUCAAUUAUGAGCCCGAGUUCUUCUUACAUAACCACUGACAACAAAGCCGGUGUUUCAGGAAGUGUUGUGGACUCCUACAAUCGCACCCUUGCCGUUUCCCACACGUGACCGCGAGCAGCAUGACGACCGGCGUAGCAUUGAACAUGCCUGGACAUGUCUGGUUAACAGGAGGCUCCCUGCGGAUGCAGAGCAGGGAGGACGACGCUCGUGUGCUGAACGCGCGGCGCUUUCAAGGCGAACGUGAGUCACCUCUUCAGAUUUAAGCUGAAAGGUUCGCCCUCGUGUUCUCACACCGCUGCAAAGGUCGCCCAGCGUCGGGCCCCGGAGCAACUGGAGCCCACUUGAGUUUGUCACGGUGUUUUCUGCUGAAGGCUGCACGAAAGAGGCCGUGAGCGGAGACGGCUUUUUAAAAAUGGAACAAAGUAGCGCUGAAAAGCUGAGCUGGUGAAGCUGGGCGCAGCCACGCAUUCGGAGCGGACGAGGGGUCGUCGAGGGUCACGCCGGUUCGGCUGGAGCCUAAAAAUCCAUGACUCACGGGAGGAAGAUGAGUGAAUGGUGUCUGCUGUCACACGUGCAGAGCGGAGAACGUAGAAAAACACGCUUCAGUGUGUCAGCAGUGGUUCUCACGCAGCCCCAGAUCGCUUGGGUCUCAACCAGAAGCCAAUGAGCUCACUGUUCAGGGCCUUCAGUCUCUCUCCAGCUGGAGCUGACACCCUGCCAGGACGGCCAACGUGUGAGGACGGCCCUCGGGUGAGGACGGCCCCCGGGUGAGGACGGCCCUCGGGUGAGGACGGCCCCCGGGUGAGGACGGCCCUCGGGUGAGGACGGCCCCCGGGUGAGGACGGCCCCCGGGUGAGGACGGCCAACGUGUGAGGA